rnacentral:rRNA from 1 species
GAUGAACGCUAGCGGCAGGCCUAACACAUGCAAGUCGAGGGAGAGGUUACCUUCGGGUAACCAAAACCGGCGCACGGGUGCGUAACGCGUAUACAAUCUGCCUUUCACAUAGGGAUAGCCCGAAGAAAUUUGGAUUAAUACCUAAUGGUAUAUAGGAGCGGCAUCGUUUUUAUAUUAAAGCUACGGUGGUGAAAGAUGAGUAUGCGUUCUAUUAGCUAGUUGGAGAGGUAACGGCUCCCCAAGGCGACGAUAGAUAGGGGUUCUGAGAGGGAUGUCCCCCACACUGGUACUGAGAUACGGACCAGACUCCUACGGGAGGCAGCAGUGAGGAAUAUUGGACAAUGGUCGGAAGACUGAUCCAGCCAUGCCGCGUGCAGGAUGAAGGUCCUAUGGAUUGUAAACUGCUUUUGUAAGGGAAGAAUAAGGAGUACGUGUACUUUGAUGACGGUACCUUACGAAUAAGCAUCGGCUAACUCCGUGCCAGCAGCCGCGGUAAUACGGAGGAUGCGAGCGUUAUCCGGAAUCAUUGGGUUUAAAGGGUCCGUAGGCGGGCUGAUAAGUCAGAGGUGAAAGCGCUUAGCUCAACUAAGCAACUGCCUUUGAAACUGUCAGUCUUGAAUGAUUGUGAAGUAGUUGGAAUGUGUAGUGUAGCGGUGAAAUGCUUAGAUAUUACACAGAACACCGAUAGCGAAGGCAUAUUACUAACAAUUUAUUGACGCUGAUGGACGAAAGCGUGGGGAGCGAACAGG